GAUGCUGAGAUUUGGGGCUGAUUGGGCUGAAUUUGGGGUCAGUUCAUGAGAGUUUGGGGUCAGAUGCUGAGAUUUGGGGUCAGAUGCUGAGAUUUGGGGUCAUUUCAUGAGAGUUCGGGGUCAGAUGCUGAGAUUUGGGGUCAGAUGCUGAGAUUUGGGGCCGAUUGGGCUGAAUUUGGGGUCGGGUGCUGAGAUUUGGGGUCAUUUUGUGAGGGUUUGGGGUCAGAUGCUGAGAUUUGGGAUCAGUUCAUGAGAGUUUGGGGUCAGAUGCUGAGAUUUGGGGUCAGAUGCUGAGAUUUGGGGCCGAUUGGGCUGAAUUUGGGGUCAGAUCUGGAGAUAUGGGGUCAUUUCGUGAGAGUUUGGGGUCAGAUGCUGAGAUUUGGGAUCAGUUCAUGAGAGUUUGGGGUCAGAUGCUGAGAUUUGGGGUCAGAUGCUGAGAUUUGGGGCCGAUUGGGCUGAAUUUGGGGUCAGGUGCUGAGAUUUGGGGUCAUUUCAUGAGAGUUUGGGGUCAGAUCCAGAGAUUUGGGGGUCACUAUGUGAGAGUUUGGG
rnacentral:lncRNA from 1 species